AGACAGGAAUAAUAAUUAGCUUUGGUAAUAAUUACCAAUAGUAGUAAUAGUAACCAAUAGUAGUAACAAUAAUCAAUAACCAGUAACAGUAACUAAUAACUAGCAAUAAUAAUCAAUAGUAGUAACAACAAACAAUAACCAGUAAUAGUAACCAAUAGUAAUAACAGUAACUAAUAACUAGUAACACUAACCAAUAACUAAUAACAAUAACUAGUAACACUAAUCAAUAAUCAAUAACCAAUAACUAGUAACAAUAACUAGUAACACUAAUCAAUAAUCAAUAACCAAUAAUAAUAAUCAAUAGUAGUAAUAGUAAC
rnacentral:lncRNA from 1 species